GUUUUCUUUUUCCCCCUUUGCUCACGAUAGGUUGAAGUCCAGGACAGACACAACACGGAGCCCUUAGGUGGCCGCCACGGAUGCUUGCUCUCCGCGUGGACUUCCUCCCUGCCUUCCCUGCCUGCUCACUAUAUCAUCCUGUAAGGAGCCAUUGCUCUCCACAGUUAACAUUUCCACCUCUUUAGGGACAAGGGGUGAAUUUGUCUGGGGCAGAAAACCCACCCAAAGAGUCCCCAGUUGACAAUACACCCUUACUCCAAGAAUGCCCCAAUCCAAGUGACCCCAGUUUCCCUAAUGGGUAAAAUGAUCCCAGAUGUGCCUGGGCCCAGACGCCCUCGGCUCUUGUUUCAGGCAGGAAAUUGUUUUUGGAGAGGCAUGGCAAGCUGGAAAGUCACUCACUGGCUUUUGACAUGACUCCUCUUGGAGAGUAAGUGGAUGCCAGGCAGGCUCUUUGCAAAUGUAAACAUGUGUCCAUCUUGUAGUAGAUGUGCAAGGCCGGUGUGGCCAGGGCAUGUCAACCUCUGAAGGCUGCAGGCUGAAUUAGGAGGCGAGGAGUUGGGGUGAGCCUGGGCCAGAGGUACACAGUAGUUUGAAGCCUGUAGGACUGAGACAGAAAUUUUUAGCCGUGCUUGGUACCCAUCAAAGUAUGUAUCAAGAAAGAAAGAAAGGAAGGAAGGAAGAAAAAAAGGAACUCUGAUGUUUGUGAGAAGAAAAGGAGAAAUUGAUGUCUGAUGGUUUUGAACUCUGGGCUCCACAGAGCUCAUUCUUGGCCCAUAGGCUGGACGUCAUGUCCCUUUUAGACACUAGGCCCAUAGCGGCAGAGUUCUCCAGCUUGGUUUGCAAGAAGCUGGCUGUGGAGUCAGCCCCAGCUCCAGGUUAUUAGGAGGAGUAUUUGCUUUCAUGCAUAAAUGUGGAUCUUUGGAGAGUGGUUUCAAAAUAAGCCAUGAACACAAACUGCAAAUUAUGUAAAUUCCUAUUUAUCUAUAUAAUUGGCAACAACUGGGAAUUGUAACGCCUGGUGGUUCAAGAUCUCUGCAGCUGCGCCCUCUCUGCUGUGCUGGGCUCACAGUGAGAGAGGGGCUGUGACUUGGCCACGGAAAGCUGUCUACUUGGGCAGGUGGGGAGGGUAUCACUCCCAAUGGGCCGUAGAACAAGGAGAAGCUACCUGUGAGUAGGGGCAAGGGCACCUUCCAGGGAAGUUCAGAUGGCUCAUGGUGGAGUGCUGGCCUUGUCUGGACACGAGACUCUGGGGGAGCCUCCAUCUAUCCCUUAUUCUAGGAGUAAGGUGCGUAUCCAUCAUGAGAGAGUGCAGGAGACCAACUUACUGGAGGAAUUCUGUACAGUUUAAGAGAAACGAUUAUUUAUUGGGGAACUAUUCUCUCCUCCAGCUCUUUUAUGGGAUCUGUUAAAAGUAAAG
rnacentral:lncRNA from 1 species